GUCUGUAAUAAAAAUUACAGGAUGGACGAUCCAGUCUGACCUCGGCAGCUAAGCAGGGUUGGGCUUGGUUAGUACUUGACGGGAGACCACGGAGGAAGACCAGGUGCUGUAGGUA
rnacentral:rRNA from 1 species